UGCCUAAUACAUGCAAGUCGAGCGCACUGGCCCAACAGAAAUGACGUGCUUGCACUGAUUUGACGUUGGAUUCCCAGUGAGCGGCGGACGGGUGAGUAACACGUGGGCAACCUGCCCCAAAGCGGGGGAUAACAUUUGGAAACAGGUGCUAAUACCGCAUAACUUGGAAAACCACAUGGUUUUCCAAUAAAAGAUGGUUUCGGCUAUCACUUUGGGAUGGGCCCGCGGUGCAUUAGCUAGUUGGUGAGGUAACGGCUUACCAAGGCGAUGAUGCAUAGCCGAGUUGAGAGACUGAUCGGCCACAAUGGAACUGAGACACGGUCCAUACUCCUACGGGAGGCAGCAGUAGGGAAUCUUCCACAAUGGGCGCAAGCCUGAUGGAGCAACACCGCGUGAGUGAAGA
rnacentral:rRNA from 2 species